AUCGCUUUUCGGCCUAUUGGCUAAGAUCAAGUGCCGUGUAGGUUCUUAUCAGUUAUCAGUUUAAUAUUUGAUACUUCCCCCUAUCCGGGCACCAUAUAGUAAAUGGAUUUUUCAGUACGUGGGCCGAUGUGGAAGCUUGCUUCUGUCGCCCCAUACAUUGACCGGCUAUGGUGGUAUUUUUGGGUACAGUACACCAACC